GCACUAUGGCACAACAUGUUUUACAGUUGGAACAAUAUUGAGAUGAUCAGCGCGGCCUCUGCACAAGGAUGACACACAAAAUUAUGAAACAUUCUGGGCUUUU